rnacentral:lncRNA from 1 species
AUAGUUCACUAUUCACUAUUCAAUAUUGAAAAAAUGAAUAAUGAAUAAUGAAAUGGUUUAUGUUUCAUUAUUCAAAUUGAAGCGGUGAAUAGUGAAAAAAAUAUAUAAAAAAAUUGACUGUGACACUAUAGCUAUAUUUUGAUUCGAAAUGACCAUAAGACGGUUUACGGAGGACCUAAAUGCCACAAUAUGCAUAAAAAUGAGGAAAUAUAAAAAAGAAGAUGUGGUAUGAUUGCCAAUGAGACAAAUAUCCAGAAAGACCACAAUGACACAGACAUUAACAACUAUAGCUCACCGUACAGCCUUCAACAAUGAGCAAAGCCCAUACCGCAUAGUCAGCUAUUAAAGGCCCCGAUAAGACAUUGUAAAAAAAUUCAAACGAGAAAACUAACGGCCUUAUUUGUGUAAAAUAAUGAACGACAAACAAAUAUGUAACACAUAAACAAACGACAAC